rnacentral:lncRNA from 1 species
UUGUUUAUAUACAAAAUGCUUUUUAUACGUAGUUUGGUUGUUCCACCUAUAUAUUUAGGUUUUUCGAUUAGAUGAUUCUCAAAACUAAGUUCUAUCCCAUUUGAAUUCAUUUAUGCUUUUUAUAUUACCAUGAUCUCCCAUCAUUCAAAUUCGAAUUUUGGGGCUGACGUACGUUUCUUGAAAUGCCAAGUGAUACGUAACAUAAAAGAUAAGUGUAGUAGAUAGUCUAAUCCCGCGGAUGAGGACGACACCUCGUUAUUCGAAAACGGACAAUUGAACGAUAAAACGAAUAAAUUGGGAAAAGAAAUGUUUGGGGCAAAGUACAAUAUAAAAUGAUAGGGCUCUCAAUUAGGGUUUCGGGAUGGGCGUGGCUUGUCUUUUUCUAUGUGGAUUCCAAAAGCAUCCGUCGCAUUGAAAAAGUUCGAGAAUAUCUAUGAUGGGCUUGGGGCGUUUGUGUGUCUGUGCAAAUUGCAGAAAAAGAAAAAGAAAAAAAAAAGAAAUCCUUUAUUGUAAUUAAAAGAUCUGUUGCCCUUUUUCGAAGCGUCGCUUUAGGCUUUCGGUCACUUUCUUAUAUUAUUUUUCACUUUCUUAUAUUAUUUUCAUGAUCCCUUUUUUCUAAAUUAGUUGCCUUUUGGGCAGUACGGGCAGUCAUCACGCAUUGAUUCCUUAAUUCUUUAUUAUUUUCCUUCCUUUUCUUUCUGGAGUGUUUUUUAGUGUCAAUGUUGUAUUGCCAGUCGUAGUGAACUGGCUGCGGUCCACGAAAACUUUUUCAAAAGUAGGUAAAUAAAGCGAUACGAUUUGGGCAGAAACAACCAAAGUGAUUUGAAAGAAAGGGCCAACUUCCAUUAAAGAACCACCAACAC